GGUGUUAAUUUAAGGUUCAGGAAAUUAAGAUUCUGUUAGUGCAAAGAAUAGAGGCAGCAUAGAGGGGGCGCAAUUCACACUGUGGCGUUCUCAGGCAGGCAGGGAGGGAUUUUAAUUUUUUUCUCCAAAUCCGUUUUGAUUUGCAGCUGUAAUCUCUCUCAUUAAUCAACAAGAACAAGCUGGAGACCAUCAAGUCAAUGACUUUAGACCAUCACAUGACAUCAGCUUGUAGUACUUUAUGCUUUUGCUGCUUGCCUGGGAGGACUGAAGAACCUCUGCAGCUACUGUGGAAUCACCUGAGGCAACACAGGUGGCUCCUGCUUUAAGAGUGAUGUCUCAAGGGUGUCAGGUAUCAAGAGCUACAACCCCAAGAAAUUCUGUCAGAUUCUGUUAUCUGAUGAGAUAGUAAGAUGUUAAGAUAAGGCACACAGGCCUUGUUUUGGUUUUAACCCUGUCUCAUUUGUGGAUAUUUUCAGGGACUGCAGUUGCUGUGUUCCUUUAAGGAAUGGAAAGAGGAGGUUAAGGGCCACUGGUCAGGCUGCUGCUCUGCUGAGUGUGGCUGUUCUCCACUCUCUGCCCCUGACAUGAUUUAUCCCCAUCUCAGCAGGGAGAGGCAGCUCUGUCUCGCUGUCCCCUCAGUGAAGGAACAGGACAUGCCAGGCCCAGCAGCAGGAGCUGUGGAACGUGCACCACCCACCUCAUCCCUGGGACAAAAGGAAAGAGUGUUCUACGUGCAGGUUUAGAACUGUGAGGAAGCCUUUAUGAGCUGGUUAUGCAGAGGAUGGCAGUGACAUAAAUCAGCUGGAGGAGGAAGAGACGAGAGAAGAGGUAAUAGUUCCCUUAUGGUUACCCAAACUGUUUCUAGGUAGGCCCAGAGUAGAGGAGGGGAAGU
rnacentral:lncRNA from 1 species